UUACAGAACAUUGAUUAUAGCUCCCUGUGCUGUACAGUAGGUCCUUGUUGGUUUAUAUUGCCUUCGUUUUUGAAAAAUAUUUUCACUAAGCUUGGAAUUCUGUGGAGAGUUUUUGUUUUUGUUUUAGUAUUUUGAAGAUGUUGCUCUGCUGGUUCCAGCCUGACUGUUACUUUUCAAAAAUUUAUUUAAAUGUAUCGGACACAUAACACAUUAUGUAAAGUUAAAGGGUACAAUCAAUGUGUUGAUUUGGAUGCAUUUAUAUGCUACAAUAGUGUAGCAGCUGUUAGCAUUUCAAUCACAUCACAUUAUAAUUUUAUUAUAUUUUUAUUUAUCAUUUAUUAAAAUGUAAAAUAUAUUUAAAGAAGAAAAAUUUUAUAUCUUAAGUAUGUAUAACAUAUAUUAUGCAUAUAUCUUAAAUAUGUAUAAUGUACUAUUAUAGAUUGAUUGCUUAUUACAAUUACUUUUAUUGUAAUGGGAAUAAUUGCGAUCUAGUGCCUUAGCGAGUCUGUGAUCAUGAGCAAUAUUGUUGUCGAUAUACACUGUACCAUAUGCUAAUAUUCCAAGUGCAAGUGAAAUGAUACAGUACAGGCAGACCUCGGAGAUAUUGCAGGUGUGGUUCCAGACCACUGCAAUGAAGCAAAUACCACAAUAAAGUGAAGCACAUGAUUUUUUUUGUUUCUCAGUGCAUAUACAAGUUAUGGUUACACUACAGGGUGCACUGGCAUUCUGUCUAAGAAAAAACCAACGUGCAUACUUAAUUUAAAAAUACUUUCUGAGUAAUUAAAAAAAUAGGUGAUUGAUAUAAAAUAAAUACAUAAAAUAUAUCAAAUAACAACAAAAAACACUUUCUUGCUAAAACAUGCUAAACGCCCUCCGAGCCUUGAGUGCGUCAUCAUCUCUGCUGGGGGAGGGUCUGGCCUCUCUGUUGACGGCUGCUGACAGAUCAAGGUUGCUGAAGGCUGGGCUGCCUGUGGCAAUUUCUCAAAAUAAGAUAACAGGGAAACUCACCCCCUCAUUGACUCCUCCUUUCACUUGAACGCAGAGGUCUUUGCAGGGUUAUUCACUGGCCUCAUUUCAAUAUCGUUGUGUCUCAGGGAACUGGGAGGCCGAGGAAGGGAAAGAUGGGAGAAUAGCUGGUCAGUGGAGCAGCCCGUAUACACGCACAGUCCAUGCCCCCAAACAAUUACAGUCGUAACAUCAAAGGUCAUUGGUCUCAGCUAACUAUAACAAAUAUAAUAAUAAUGAAAAUUUUGAAAUAUUGUGAGAUUUGCAAAAAUGUGACACAUUGACAUGGAGUGAGCAAAUGCUUUUCAAAAAGCGAUGCUGAUAGACGUGCUUAACACAGGUUGCCACAAAUGUCCAAUUUGUAAAAAAACGCUGUUUGUGAAACACAGUAAAGUGAAGCUCAGUAAAACAAGGUGUGCCUGUAUUCGUCUUUCUCCGUCUUAUUUAUCUCUGUGUGUUUCUGGCAAGAAGUCUUCAGUCUGCUUAGCUUCUCUCUUUGUCAUGUGUUCUUUCUUGCUGUUUUAAAGAUUUUUCGUUAUCAUUAGUCUUUUUCUAUUCUUUUUUUAAAAUCUUUUCAGAGCUGCACCCGAGGCAUAUGGAGGUUCCCGGGCUAGGGGUUGAAUCAGAGCUGCAGCAGCCGGCCUACACCACAGCCACAGCAACGCCAGAUCCAAGCCGCAUCUGUGACCUACACCACAGCUCACAGGUAACGCCGGAUCCUUAACCCACUGAGCGAGGCCAGGGGUAGAACCUGUAUCCUUAUGGACACUAGUCCGAUUCGUUUCUCUGAGCCCCGACGGGAACUCCUCUUUAUCGUUAGUCUUAAGCAAUUUGAUUAUGAUGUGUGUUGACCUAAAACAAAUGGACUGCAAUUAUUUCUACAGCCUAAGUGGGUUUAUUUGAGAUUUACAAAGAAUUGCAUGUUGGGGUCUGCAACCACAGUGAGCUGCAUGCAAAUCCCAUGCAGCAAAGAGAGGAAGACUCUUUUUUUUUUUAACUAGCCAUUUAAUUUUAAUUUUAUUUAUUUACUUUUAUAUUUAUUUUUUUGUUUUUUAGGGCCACACCCAUGGCAUAUGGAGGUUCCCAGACUAGGGGUCAAAUCGGAGACACAGCUCCUGGCCUGCACCACGGCCACAGCAACACCAGAUCUAGGCCACGUCUGUGACCUACACCACAGCUCACGGCAAUGCCAGAUCCUUAACCCACCGAGCAAGGCCAGGGAUCGAACCCACAAUUUUAUGGUUCCUAGUUGGAUUUGUUUCUGCUGUGCCACAACAGGAAUUCCAGAGGAGGACACUUUUAAAGAGAGGAAGAGGAAGUUGAGAGAGCUCUAGUAGAGACCAUUGGGAAUUGAGAGUUGAAAGCAUAGUGGUCUCUCAUUGGAUGAGCUAUUGCAGAGAGAAGCCUUUCUUCUUCCUGUUUGGCUUUGCUGUUGUCUCAAGGGAUAAAAGCUCCCCCUUCUGGCCUCCUGAGUCUAUUUUAAUUGCUGUUUCUCUUCCUUAAUUUUUACAUUUCCUCCUUUUGAUCAAGAUAUUUACUGGAUAGCAUCACUGAUCUAGAGUUAACGUUUCCCAGUUUCAGUGUCAUUCUGUCCUUCAGCACCAGGGAGGCCCUUUCCCGGGACCUCUCCACACUGGAGGGAAAGCGCACAGAUUGGAAAUCUACUGAGGUCACAUUUAAGCAAUGAUAAGGGGUUGGAAGGAGAGUCCUCAGGCACUUUAAAUCUACGGUCCAUACAUUACUACGAUCAUUGACGUUCGAGAUCAUCUGGAGUGUUCUGUCAUCACAAGAAGUUUGGUCACACACUUCCAUCAGGCCUGGUCUGGAUAGGUUGGGAAAGGUGUUUCAUCAGACAUCAUUUGCUUCAAUCCCAAGAAAUCUUACCCUCAGGUCAGCAGAUGAUAUACAGAUCCUAUUGGGGUUUGGUGCUUGCUUUAGAUGUGUCACGUGAAUCCAGGAGGCUGUUGCCUGGAAUUUGAUGGCACAAGGGUUGGUUAGAAGCACAUGAUAGGUGCUUUCCCACUGACAUUGGAGAGAGUGUUUCUGGAGAUGUCUUUUCUAGUAAAUGAAAUCUCCAGGUUGCAAGUUGUAAUGCUUAAAAUCUCUGUCUCCCAAGAGCACACGGUGAAGAGAUUACUCUACCAAAACUUGGUUAUUUGUAAUAGAGACAGUCAGGCCUUUGCAGUGUAGAUGCAUUUUUCCUUUUACCAGCUACUUGUCAUCAAGAAGCAAAAACCAAGUGCACUGGGCAUCCUGUGGCUUUCUCAAAAGGUGAGCCUUUAUGAGUUCCAAAAGUGAUAUAUCUGAGAUUUAGAAAGACCAAUGGCACUGCUUUUGGCCAGGGUAUUUGGAAGACCUCUACAAAUUUUUCCAGUUGAAUCUUUAGUAAUGCCAUUGGUGCAUUUGGCUAAACCAGAGGAUUGAGAUGGUAAGCGCAGUGUAAGUGUUGUGAAACUGGGCAAAAGUGCACCCUUGUCAAAGUACCUGGCCAGCAAAGUGGACUCCUCAAUCACUGUGAAGUUUGAUAGAGAGUAUCCUUUCCAAAAGGACUUUAUCCUCAGAAAAAUCAGUAGCUUCGGAGAAAGCUUCAGUCCAGUGUGAAAACACAGACCAUGAUGAAAACAUAUUUAUAUCCAUGAUAUGGAGGAAGUUGAUGAAAUCCAUUUGCCAGACCUUGAAUGGUCUAUUAUGCAGUUAGAAAAUGUCUGGGACCCCAGUAAAAACGGGCUUCCCUGAGUUGUAUUCUGACGAGUGACACCAAGGAGGUGGGAACCUUUUGUAGUCCUGCUCAUGUUUGCCAGCUGACGUGAACUCAUGAGGGCUGUCAUUUUCUCAGCAGCCCAGUACAUAUGCAGUGGUGAGGAGUGGGAAUUUUAGAUACUCCUCUAGGACUGGGUUGUUAUUUGAUAGGCACCAGAGUUUUCUCUUCUCACUGUACCAACAAUUUUUGAAUUUUCAAUCUUGUUUUUCCUUUCUUGAGGCCAGUUUUUGGACCUCUCUAACUCGUUUUCCUAAGUAAUCAUUUGGGGAAAUGUUCUUUUGGACCAUAAUAGAGGUUUGGCUGUUGUUGGUCCCUAUAAGGCAGUAUUCCUUGUGGAAAUGUUAACUAGGCAGUUUCCCUUAGCUCCCACAGGGUCAAGUUUAGAGUGCCUCGGAAUCUAAAUAAUAGCUAAAACAGCAGGUAAAAGUAUCACAUCCAGUUUCUGAACACAGGGACCAUUUAAAAUGUUAUUUCCAUUGACAGUAAGGAAGCCACUUUGCUUCCCCAAUAAACCAAAAUCAUGAGCUACUCUGAAAGCAUCUCUAUUAUCAGUGUAAAUAUUGACACUAAUAUUUACAAAUAUUUUGUUGCUGGCUAAAGUACGAGCACAUGUAAGAGUGUAAAAUGCAGCCUUUUGGGCUGAAGUAGCCAUAGGUAAAGGUGCUGCCUCAGAAACAUCAAAAGGAGUUUCAGUAAAGCAUACAGCACAAUAUUGGCGGUUACCACCAUCCUUGAACCAAGAGAAGUCGUGUUACCCAAUGGAAUAUCCUAUAGAACCUUACAAGAAUUCCGGGGGUGGUUUGUCAGUGUUAGCAGCCAUGAGGAUUUUGUCAGUGAUGGAGGAAGAAAGCAGUAGGGUCAAGGUUAUUAAAAACAAUUGCGAUUACAGAGUUAGGUGAGGAGCACAAACAAAAAUGCUUCAUAGGAGUUGAGGCUGAUGACAGAAAUGUUGAGUGUGACGAGAAUUCAGGAGGCUUCCCCCACAUGAGGUACAAAGAUCAUUAAAGGGGGUCCUACAAUGGUUUUCUUGGUGGCCUUAACCAAAAAAAAGGGAGUGGUCAUAAUGGCUCUAAGGCAACUGGGGUAUCCUUGUGCCACAGGGUCCAGUUGCUAGCUGUUAUAUCCUGUGAGUCCAUGGUGGUCCCUGUGUUUUGGGUGAGGACCCCACGGCAUUCCCUUUCUUUUUAUACAAAAAGGAAAAGAGAAUCUGAUAAUUGAGAUGCCCAAGGGCAGAUGGGUUCAUGGAACUCUUCUUUAAGGCAUCGAAGGUUAUGUUGCCAGUACUUCCCAGGACAUGUUGGGUUGUCAUCGUUGAGUAAAAUAGACAGAGCUUUGGCCAUAAGAGAGGAAUUCAGACUGCAGUUUCAGCAACAAUCAGCUAAUCUGAGAAAACCUCACAGUUGACACUUAAUGUUGGGGUUGGGGAAACCUAGGAUAGCAUGAGGUCUAUCUGGAUGUAGGUAUAGCCUCUUCCUGAUAUCAGAUGCCCUAAAUAAUGAACUUGGGUUUGGGCGAACUGCAAUUUUUCCUUGGUGGCCUUUUGUCCUUUGAAGGCUAAAAGCUUUAGCAAGUGGAUGCUGUCUUCCUGUGGAGAAGCUUGCGAAGGAGAGCAAAGAAACCAAUCAUCCACACAUCUCAACAAGUAGAACCUCUAGGGAAUUUUAGAUCAUCCUGAUCAGGUUUUGUGAAAAAUAAGGACUCUUAGUAAAACCCCGAGGCAUUACUGUCCAAGUGAAUUGUCUUCUCAAGUGAAGGCAAAAGGUAUUGGCUAGUGCGUUGACUGGAACACCAAAGCAUGCUGCAUACACCAAUCACAGUAAAGAAUUUACCUCUGGUGAGACUAGAUGUGCAAGAGGGUCAGGACACAAGGUGUUAAGGGUUGACAAUGUUGUUUAUUGCUUGGAGGUCCUGGACAGUCCUCCAUCCCUGGCCCUUAUGUUACAUCCCUCAAGGUAAAAUGGGAGCGUUAUAGCGAUGAGCACAAGGGGUAAAGGGCCCUCGAGGCUGAAAUCUUCUAUUACGGGUUUUAUACCUUGAAGAGCUUCCUUACUUACAGGGUAUUGAUUAAUUCUGGGCAGAGUUUUGAAAAUCUUGAAUCUUGAAUUUGCGUCUUGAUGGGAGGUGUGCUGUGAAUUUUGCCAACAUCAGUUGGAGAUUUUUCCCCAUAAGGCAAGUGGUAGCUGAUUUAAUAGUGACAAAUGAUCAGUGUUUCCAGAAUCAGCUCUCAUACCAUCACAGAUGGAGCAAAUAAAAGUUGUUAAAGGGUCAGUUCACUUACCUGGUAGAUUACUUUAAUGACCACUGUCAAAUUCUAUAAUUAUUUCCACCUUUUGGGAAGAACAAAUUUUGGCAUGAUGCUUCUCUAAGGAGUCUUAGCCCAAUAACUGGAUUGGGCAGAGGAACUGGGGGGAAAAGUGUGUGUAUCUCUCAAUGGGCCUAAACCAACUUAAAGAAGCUCAUCAGGGAUCCCCCUAUUUGAGCCGUGUUGGUCUUCUGACCCACAGGAUGCCUUAUUGUAGAGGAGGGGCUGAGCACUGAGAGUGUGGCUCUGGUGACAUGUAGGGCUAGAAGAGAUUCACCCCCAAUCUGGAGAAAUGUUUCUCCAAGCCACUUAUGAGAGAGGAUUGGGAAGAGCCCCUGUAGGUUCUUGGAGCACCGUUGCUGAGAACUGGAGGAGGUUGGAAAGGUUGGUUGGAGGGUUGGAGGGGGCUGCAGUGCUUCGAUUUGUAACAAUCCCUUUUCCUAUGUCCUGGCUGUUUGCAACAAUAGCAGAACCUAGGUUUUAGUUUGUUUAGGAGCCUUCGUUUGCUGGAGUUGAAGAACUUUGGUGACCUUGCUUUUAUGUGAGUCGCUUGGAGUGGGAGAGAGCUGGUUUGACAGAUCAACUAAAUCUGCAGUGGACAUAGCUCCCCAUUUCAUCCUGGUCCUUUUACCAGGAGGGAAAGAGUCCAGUUAAUUAACACAGGGUUAAAAACUAUGCAGGUAGAAUCAUCAUCUGAAAGAAGGCAAGAAUUUUCCUUAAAAGCAAUCAGAAGUUGAUUAUAAUAUUCAUGAACAGGUUGAUCAGAUUUUUGUGCACAAGACUGAGUUUUGUUCCAAUCAAUAGGCUAUAGAAAACCCCUAGGGAUUGAAGUCACCUAGUGAUUGCCUGGGCCUGAUCCUGUGAUAAGUUAGUGGACUGGUCUCCCAACAGUAAUCCUAGAGGUCAUUCAGGACUCUCUGGGUUAGUGGUUUUCAUCCAGUGUGGGCCCAGCUUCACUGAUAAGCAUGUAAACUAGCUGCUAAGUCAGAGAAACCAGGUUACUAAGUUUGAAUAACUAUAUUAAAGACCUCAGCAAAUCGGUGAGGAUUUCUGGUUACUAUGGGAAAAUCUUUGACUGUGGCUUAUAGUUCUAUUUUAGUACAGGGAAUGUAAAAAAAUUAAGGGUUUCAUCUCUGAAUCCAAGGCUUAAUUUUAUUUUGUUUUUAUUUUUUGGUCUUUUUUUGGGGGGAGGGAGCUGUACCUAUGGCAUAUGGCCCUUCCCAGGCUAGGGGUUGAAUUGGAGCUACAGCUGCAGCCUACACCACAGCCGUGGAACACGGAAUCUGAGCCACAUCUGUGACCUACACCACAGCUCACGGCAAUGCCAGAUCCCUAACCCACUGAGCAAGACCAGGGAUUGAACUUGAAACCAUGGAUAUUAGGAUCUUAACCUACUUAGUCACAGCAGGAACUCCCCAAGGCUUAAUUUUAGAGUGACAGGUUCUGACAAUUCUGAAGAAAGGUGAGUAGGGAGGAGAGGGGAGGAAGUUGCACAGGAGAAUUGUAUCCCAGAGUUGAGGGUAUAGGAGAUGAGUAAGCAUUGAAAAGGGAAAGGAGGAAGUUGGUGCUAGAGAUGGAGUCUGAGGCAAAGGAGGAUCCUGAGGCUUCAGAUGCCACCUUAUCUUCUUUUAAUCAUGUGUUUGCCUCAGUUAGUCUUAACAUCUUAGCUUGCAGAGAGGCAAUGUUAGGCUCCUGAUAAUAUUUGGAAGCCUCAAAAUACUAAUCAAAAUAGAUAUUCCAUUUAAUUUGAGAAAUUUUAGAGCUAUGCUUAUCCAAUUCAGUUUUAAGAAAAGAAAGUUUAGGGAUUUCAAAAUUCCCCAUAAUGGCCAUUGAUGUUUUAAAUUUCCUUUGGUGAAGUCAAUCUGUUUAGUUAUAAAUACACAAGAGGAAGGACCAUAGUUUUUAAACAUAAAAAUCAGCUGGAUUCCCUCUUGGGUGGGGGUGCCCUUAAAAUACCUAGAUAACUGGGGUCCUAUCUCUCAGGAUUUUUUGUUAGAGUAAAAGGACAAUUUCCAAGUAGCCUAAACAGCUCAAAAACAAUUCAAACAGCUGUAGGCAGUGCCAGUCAGUUCUAAGGGAAUAGUCUGGUCCCCAAAGAGCCAGGCUGAAGGCUGCUCAGUUCAGCUCUAAUAAAGUAGCCCAAGGCUGAAGGAGUCAGACUGAAGGCUUAGCUACAUAGCUCCAAUGAAUCAGCCCCUGUUCCCAAAGGAAUGGGCUAAGGCUGGCCAGUUCCUAUUGGAACUGCCUGAUUUUAGAGGAUUCAGGGCAAAGUGCCAAACAGGUAAACAUGUACAGCACAAAUCCUUGAUCUAGAAAGGAUGAAGCUUUAAAAUAGAUUCCAAAUAGGAAUGUACCAUUGUGGCUCAGCAGGUUAAAACCUGAUAUAGUCUCUGUGAGGAUGUGGGUUCAUCCCUGGCCUUGCUCAGUGGGUUAAGGAUCUGGCAUUGCUGCAAGCUGCAGUAUAGGUCAUGGAUGCAGCUGGGAUCCGACAUUGCCAAGGCUGUGGUGUAGGCCAGCACUUAACUCUGAUUUCACCCCUGACCUGGGAACUUCCGUAUGCUUCAGGUGUGGCCAUAAAAAGAAAAAAAAAAAAAA
rnacentral:lncRNA from 1 species